GCCAGAACCACCAGAGGAGAGCCAGGGCCAGAAGCAGGAACAGGAUCAGCAGGGCGAUCGCCAGGAUGGAGCCAUCGGACUGCGGGGCCGAGAGAGAGGGCGGUCAGCAGUGGGGCCGGCUGUGCGCGCAACCAGCAUGGAGGCCCCAUUCUUCUCUUGGAACAACAGCCUGAAGGACCAAUCCUGCAGGAGACAGAGCAGAUGGCUGCCUUUGCAGCUGGGCACUGAGAUGGCCUACCACCGCCAUCUGCCUCCGGACCAUCACCCUGUGCCCGGUGACAGCCUCCCACUCCCUGGAACUGCUGUUCCCGCCACCCCUUGGGCUGGACUUGGGACAAUUCUCAACUCAGCCUGCUUGCCUGAGCCCGUGUCUCGUAGAAAAAUACUGAGGCAAGGACAGAAGAAGCAACUUGCCCAAGGUCACAGGGAGAAACCAGAAUUUAAAACUGGGCCAUUUGGUAAGACAUGAAAGCAACCUAAAUGUCCACUGACAGAUGAAUGGAUAAAGAAGAUAUGAUACAUAUAUACAAUGGAAUACUACUCAGCCAUAAUAAAGAAUGAAAUAAUGACAUUUGCAGCAACAUGGAUGGACCUAGAGAUUAUCAUACUAAACGAAGUAAGUCAGACGGAGAAAGACAAAUACCAUAUGAUAUCACUUAUAUGUGGAAUCUAAAAUAUGGCACAAAUGAACCUAUCUACGAAACAGAAACAGACUCACAGACAGAGAACAGACUUGUGGUUGCCAAGGGGGAGGGAGGGAUGGAUUGGUAGUUUAGGAUUAGCAGAUGCAAACUAUUAUAUAGAGAACGGAUAAACAAUAAGGUACUACGGUAUAGCACAGGGAACUAUAGCCAAUAUCCUGUGAUAAACCAUAAAUGGAGAAGAAUAUGAAAAGGAAUGUAUAUAUGUGUAUAACUGAAUCACUUUGCUGUAUAGCAGAAAUUAACAUUGUAAAUCAACUAUAUUUCAAUAAACUAAAUUUUUAACAGA